rnacentral:rRNA from 1 species
UAGGGAAUCUUCCACAAUGGGCGCAAGCCUGAUGGAGCAACACCGCGUGAGUGAAGAAGGGUUUCGGCUCGUAAAGCUCUGUUGUUAAGAAGAACACGUAUGAGAGUAACUGUUCUAUACGUUGACGGUAUUUAACCAGAAAGUCACGGCUAACUACGUGCCAG